rnacentral:lncRNA from 1 species
AAAUAUAUAAAAUCUUCGUCCAAAUUUAUAUAUUAACAACAACAAAUAUUCGAGUUUAUAUAAUAUAAUAAGAAAAAUAAAAUAAAUGUUCAAGAAAAUAUUAAAUAAGAGGGACAAAAACUAACAAUAAUUUUGAAGAGACACAAACCUCGCCAAGAAAAAGAAAAACAAACCAAAAACAAAAGGACCAAGCAAAAAAAAAUGUGAACCAAACAAUUGACUAAAAAAUUGGGACUAAUAAA